rnacentral:lncRNA from 1 species
UCUAAUAAAGAUUCACCAAUCAUUGUACCCAAAGUAAAUAAAAAAUCACCAAUCAAAAUAAAAAGCAGCGUGUAAUAGUAUAUAUAUUUUUACAGUAGCAAAUCUGAGUCUAUCGUUAGCAGUUUUGUAAUUCUCAUCACAAGUGGUUGGCAUUGAUGGACGGGCCCUUGCCUUCCAUUUCAUAAUUCAGAGAAUUUCUUUCCCACCCAUCUCUCUU